GAGUUUGAUCAUGGCUCAGAUUGAACGCUGGCGGCAGGCCUAACACAUGCAAGUCGAGCGGUAGCACAGAGAGCUUGCUCUCGGGUGACGAGCGGCGGACGGGUGAGUAAUGUCUGGGAAACUGCCUGAUGGAGGGGGAUAACUACUGGAAACGGUAGCUAAUACCGCAUAACGUCGCAAGACCAAAGAGGGGGACCUUCGGGCCUCUUGCCAUCAGAUGUGCCCAGAUGGGAUUAGCUAGUAGGUGGGGUAACGGCUCACCUAGGCGACGAUCCCUAGCUGGUCUGAGAGGAUGACCAGCCACACUGGAACUGAGACACGGUCCAGACUCCUACGGGAGGCAGCAGUGGGGAAUAUUGCACAAUGGGCGCAAGCCUGAUGCAGCCAUGCCGCGUGUAUGAAGAAGGCCUUCGGGUUGUAAAGUACUUUCAGCGGGGAGGAAGGUGUUGAGGUUAAUAACCUCAGCAAUUGACGUUACCCGCAGAAGAAGCACCGGCUAACUCCGUGCCAGCAGCCGCGGUAAUACGGAGGGUGCAAGCGUUAAUCGGAAUUACUGGGCGUAAAGCGCACGCAGGCGGUCUGUCAAGUCGGAUGUGAAAUCCCCGGGCUCAACCUGGGAACUGCAUUCGAAACUGGCAGGCUAGAGUCUUGUAGAGGGGGGUAGAAUUCCAGGUGUAGCGGUGAAAUGCGUAGAGAUCUGGAGGAAUACCGGUGGCGAAGGCGGCCCCCUGGACAAAGACUGACGCUCAGGUGCGAAAGCGUGGGGAGCAAACAGGAUUAGAUACCCUGGUAGUCCACGCCGUAAACGAUGUCGACUUGGAGGUUGUGCCCUUGAGGCGUGGCUUCCGGAGCUAACGCGUUAAGUCGACCGCCUGGGGAGUACGGCCGCAAGGUUAAAACUCAAAUGAAUUGACGGGGGCCCGCACAAGCGGUGGAGCAUGUGGUUUAAUUCGAUGCAACGCGAAGAACCUUACCUACUCUUGACAUCCAGAGAACUUUCCAGAGAUGGAUUGGUGCCUUCGGGAACUCUGAGACAGGUGCUGCAUGGCUGUCGUCAGCUCGUGUUGUGAAAUGUUGGGUUAAGUCCCGCAACGAGCGCAACCCUUAUCCUUUGUUGCCAGCGGUUAGGCCGGGAACUCAAAGGAGACUGCCAGUGAUAAACUGGAGGAAGGUGGGGAUGACGUUAAGUCAUCAUGGCCCUUACGAGUAGGGCUACACACGUGCUACAAUGGCGCAUACAAAGAGAAGCGACCUCGCGAGAGCAAGCGGACCUCAUAAAGUGCGUCGUAGUCCGGAUUGGAGUCUGCAACUCGACUCCAUGAAGUCGGAAUCGCUAGUAAUCGUAGAUCAGAAUGCUACGGUGAAUACGU
rnacentral:rRNA from 1 species